rnacentral:rRNA from 1 species
GACGAACGCUGGCGGCGUGCUUAACACAUGCAAGUCGAGCGGUAAGGCCCUUCGGGGUACACGAGCGGCGAACGGGUGAGUAACACGUGGGUGACCUGCCUCUAGCUCUGGGAUAAGCCUGGGAAACUGGGUCUAAUACCGGAUAUGACUCCACGGCGCAUGUUGUGGGGUGGAAAGCCUUGUGUGGCUAGAGAUGGGCCCGCGGCCUAUCAGCUUGUUGGUGGGGUGAUGGCCUACCAAGGCGACGACGGGUAGCCGGCCUGAGAGGGCGACCGGCCACACUGGGACUGAGACACGGCCCAGACUCCUACGGGAGGCAGCAGUGGGGAAUCUUGCGCAA